AGCGUGGGUAGCGAACGGGAUUAGAUACCCCGGUAGUCCACGCUGUAAACGAUGUGAACGAGGUGUGGGCAGUGUAGAAGCCGUCUGUGCCGGAGCAAACGCGAUAAGUUCACCGCCUGGGGAGUACGGUCGCAAGGCUAAAACCCAAAGGAAUUGACGGGGGCCCGCACAAGCAGCGGAGCGUGUGGUUUAAUUCGAUGCAACGCGAAGAACCUUACCUGGGCUUGACAUGUACGUAGUAGUGAAGGGAAACCGGAACGAGCCUUCGGGCAGCGUAGACAGGUGCUGCAUGGCUGUCGUCAGCUCGUGUCGUGAGAUGUUGGGUUAAGUCCCGCAACGAGCGCAACCCGUGUUGCUAGUUACAAGUGUCUAGCGAGACUGCCGGUAACAAGCCGGAGGAAGGUGCGGAUGAUGUCAAGUCAGCAUGGCCUAUAUGUCCAGGGCUACACACACGCUACAAUGGCUGGUACAAAGAGAAGCGAAAGGGAGACCUGAAGCGAAUCUCAUCAAAGCCAGUCAUAGUUCGGAUUGCAGGCUGCAACUCGCCUGCAUGAAGUCGGAGUUGCUAGUAACCGCAGGUCAGCAAUACUGCGGUGAAUACGUUCCCGGGCCUUGUACACAC
rnacentral:rRNA from 1 species